UACAGAGGGGGCAAGCGUUGUUCGGAAUUACUGGGCGUAAAGGGCGCGUAGGUGGCCAACUAAGUCAGACGUGAAAUCCCUCGGCUUAACCGGGGAACUGCGUCUGAUACUGGAUGGCUUGAGUUCGGGAGAGGGAUGCGGAAUUCCAGGUGUAGCGGUGAAAUGCGUAGAUAUCUGGAGGAACACCGGUGGCGAAGGCGGCAUCCUGGACCGACACUGACACUGAGGAGCGAAAGCCAGGGGAGCAAACGGG
rnacentral:rRNA from 1 species